rnacentral:rRNA from 1 species
UACGUAGGGUGCGAGCGUUGUCCGGAAUUAUUGGGCGUAAAGAGCUCGUAGGCGGUUUGUCGCGUCUGCUGUGAAAUCCCGAGGCUCAACCUCGGGUCUGCAGUGGGUACGGGCAGACUGGAGUGCGGUAGGGGAGAAUGGAAUUCCUGGUGUAGCGGUGGAAUGCGCAGAUAUCAGGAGGAACACCGAUGGCGAAGGCAGUUCUCUGGGCCGAUACUGACGCUGAGGAGCGAAAGCGUGGGGAGCGAACAGG